UGGGCAACCUGCCCCAGACACAGGGAUAACCCCGGGGAAACCGGGGCUAAUACCGGAUACUCCGGUCGAACCGCAUGGCUCGAUCGGGAAAGCUCCGACGGUCUGGGAUGGGCCCCGCGGCCUAUCAGCUUGUUGGUGGGGUAACGGCCUACCAAGGCGACGACGGGUAGCUGGUCUGAGAGGAUGGCCAGCCACAGUUGGGACUGAGACACGGCCCAGACUCCGUACGGGAG
rnacentral:rRNA from 1 species